CCUACGGGAGGCAGCAGUAAGGAAUAUUGGGCAAUGGACGCAAGUCUGACCCAGCCAUGCCGCGUGAAGGAAGACGGCCCUAUGGGUUGUAAACUUCUUUUCUCAGGGGGUAAACUUCGGAACGUGUUCCGGACUGAAAGUACCUGAGGAAUAAGCAUCGGCUAACUCCGUGCCAGCAGCCGCGGUAAUGCGGAGGGUGCAAGCGUUAUCCGGAUUUAUUGGGUUUAAAGGGUCCGUAGGCGGACUUAUAAGUCAGUGGUGAAAGCCUGUCGCUUAACGAUAGAACUGCCAUUGAUACUGUAAGUCUUGAGUAUAUUUGAGGUAGCUGGAAUAAGUAGUGUAGCGGUGAAAUGCAUAGAUAUUACUUAGAACACCAAUUGCGAAGGCAGGUUACCAAGAUAUAACUGACGCUGAGGGACGAAAGCGUGGGGAGCGAACAGGAUUAGAUACCCUGGUAGUCCACGCCGUAAACGAUGCUAACUCGUUUUUGGGCUUUAGGGUUCAGAGACCAAGCGAAAGUGAUAAGUUAGCCACCUGGGGAGUACGCUCGCAAGAGUGAAACUCAAAGGAAUUGACGG
rnacentral:rRNA from 1 species